rnacentral:lncRNA from 1 species
GAGUAAUAUUCCAUGGUGUGUGUGUGUUUAUAUAUAGGUAUCUCACAUUUUCUUUAUCCACUCAUUGGUUGAUGGAUAUCUACUAUCUUUAACAGAUGGUUCCAAGGUCAUUGCAAAAGAAGAUGCAAAGAGGAUGGAAAAUUGAAGGUUCCUAUGCCUCAGUUCUGUUGACCAAAAACAUCUGGGCAUAAUGACCACCCAAAUGCGGUGAGCAUUCCUAGGACCAAGAUUAUAGCACUGAAAUACCCUUUCCUAUGAAAAAUAAACCAGGCUUUUAGAGAAAUAUUGUGAGAGGAAUCUGGAAUAUCUUAUCAUACCAGACAGAGAGGAACUUCUUAAGCCACAAAGGUUAUGUCAAAAGGACCCAGGAGUCAACUUGAAGAGGCUCCCAGUAGCCAAAAUGGGACAAUGUGAGCUUCAAUGAGGGUAAUAAUUAUAAUGGACUGAAAUCUAUCAAAUGCUUAACCCAUGAGUUAAUAAUAAUACUAAAAAAAUAAAACCCACAAACCAAUUUGUCUUUUUUGGAGGGUGACAGAGAAGCAAUGCGUUGUCUUAGAUCCUGGUAAUUAAAGGGAAAGAAUCAAGCAUUUAUGCCACUUCUCUUAUAUGAACAGUACCAUGGAGUAACCAAAUAAUAAACACCUUAUAAAGUCAUUCUAGCUAAGAAAUAGAAUAUCUGGUGUGAUUUGAAAGCUUUCACCUUCAGUGUCUAGGGCCAGCUUUCUGCCCCUGGCACCCACACCCAACUCCCUGAGGCUAUGGUUCCAUUUAUUUCUAUGCAUCCUGGCCCUCACUCUCAUCUGACACAUGCCCUUACAUUCAGGAGAUGCUCAAUAAAUCCUCUGUAGAGUGAUGUGAACCCAGUCCAGAGUGAGACUUGGAGGAUAUGUGGCUUUGGGGGAUAGAGAGCCUGCUCGCUGUCCAUCCCUCAUCUCAAGGAAGAGCUGCAGAGAUUUUCUCCCAACUCUCUCCCACUGUCCCAGGGGUUGUGGGGGCAAAUCCUGUGCCUUUUCCUAAAAACCAGACCCAGAGGAGUUCAGAAAUGGCAGGGAUGGAGCAUCUUCGAACCUGAACUUACUUAGUAGGAGGGAAGGCCGGAGGUCGCUUAGUUCAUCCCACUGCCACCAAUUCAUGUACAGGAUUGAGGAAGCCACCUUUUUGGGAAUAAAAAUGUUUGACAUCCUGUCAUCAAGCACUGGGCCAAGGGAACUCAGUGAACAGGUUCUAUUUGACACUUCACUGUAACCUAUCCCUUCCUGACUCCAGCCCCAGAUCAAUUGCUACCUCAAUUAGUGAAUUAGAGCAUGUUAAUGACUCCAUGGGAGCCAUCUCAAGGUUCUGAUCUGGCAUUUGACCAGUAUUAUAUUGUCAUGUAAGAGUCACACAUGCUCAUUGACCAUUCCUUCAGAUAGUAUUUUUUGGCCAUCUUCCAGGUACCAGACACUAUGCUAGGCAUUGAAAUACAGAGGGAUGAAGAAAUGGUGCCUGUCCCCAAGGGUUUCAUAGUCUACUGGGGUAAAGAGAUGGUACAGUGGGUGUAUUCGUCUGCUAGGGCUGCCAUUACAAAAUAUCAGAUUGGGGUCUUAAACAACAAACGUUUAUUUUCUCCCAAUUUUGGAGACUGGAAGUCUAAGAUCAAGGUGCUGGCGGGUUGGUUUCUCCUGAGGUCUCUCUCCUUGGCUUGCAAAUGGCCACCAUCUUGCUGUGUCCUUUUCUCUGUACACACCCAUUCCUGAUGUCUCUCUCUUCUUAUAAGAACACCGGUCCUGGUCGGGCAUGGUGGCUCGUGCCUGUAAUCCCAACACAUUGAGAGGACGAGGCGGGUGGAUCACUUGAGGUCAGGAGUUUGAGACCAGCCUGACCAACACGGCGAAACCCCGUCUCUACUAAAAAUACAAAAUUAGCCAGGAGUGGUGGCACACACCUGUAAUCCCAGCUAUUCGGGAGGCUGAGGCAUGAGAAUCACUUGAAUUCAGGAGGCAGAAGUUGCAGUGAGCCAAGAUCAUGCCACUGCACUCCAGCCUGGGCAAGAAGAGUGAAACUACAUCUUGAAAAAAAAAAAAAAAAGCACAGCAGUCCUAUUCCAUUAGGGCCCCACCCUUAUGACCUCAUUUAACCCUAAUUACCCCUUAAAGGCCCUGUCUCCAAAUACAGUCACAUUAGGGAUUAGGGUUUCAACAUAUUAAUUUGUUGGGGGUGGGGUAGUUGGGAAUUCAAUCCAUAACAGUGGGUUUUAAGAAUUAUAAUAAAGUCAGGACCAGGCUGCAGGGCAACAACCGUUCACCCUCAUGACCAUGUGGCUGACUGGGAGCUGGGCUGCAGCACCGUGAAAGAGUAUGGCACUGCAUAUGGCUGGCCUGGGAAAAGAUCAAAAUAUAAUAUCUGAAGUCUGAUUUCUACUGAAUGUGCAUUGCUUUUGCAACAUCGUAAAGUUGAAAAAUCAUUAAGUGAAAUAUCGUAAGUCAGGUACCAUCUGUGCUGAAAACUGGGUGGCUUAGAACAACAGAAACUGAUCAUCUCACAAUUAUGGAGGCCCGAAGUCUGAGAUCAAGGUGUCGUCAGGGCCAGGCUCCCUUGCUCCAGCCCUCUCUCCUGGCUUCUGGUAGUUACUUGGCUUGUGGCAGCAGAAAUCCAUAAUCUUCACAUGGCGUUUCCCCUUUUUAUAAGGACAGCAGUCAUCUUGGAUUAGAGGCCUAUCCUGCUCCACUAUGACGUCAUCCUAACUCAUUACAUCUACAAUGACCCUAUUUCCAAAUAAGAACACAUUCUGAGGUUCUGACAAGUCAGGACACCAGCAUAUGAAUUUCUGGGAAGAACGUGAUUCCGUCCCUAACAGGAAGCUCUGGAAAGAGUCCUGGCAUGAUCUGAUGGAGGCCCAAACUAAGGAAGUGGUGGUGUGGAUCCUGAGGGUGGGGACUGGGAAUUGUCUUAGUUCAGGCUGCUAUAACAAAAUACCAUAGGCUGGGGGCCUUAAGCAACAGACAUUUAUUUCUUACAGUUCUGGAGGCUGGAAGUCUGAGAUCAAGACCUGCACGGUUGAGUUCUUGUGAUGGCCCUUAGGGCAGUUGCAGACAGCCAUCUUCUCACUCUGUCCUCAUGUGGUAGAGAGGAAGCCCUGGAGUCUCUUCUUAUAAGGGCACUAAUCCCAUUGUGAGGACCCCACCUUCAUGACCUCAUCUAAACCUAAUCACCUUCCAAAGGCCCCAUCACCAAAUACCAUCACAGUGAGUGUUAGAGCUUCAACACAGGAAUGGAGGGGGGAAACAAACAUUCAUUCCCUAACAGGAAUGGAUUUGAAAGUUACUGAUAUGGGGGUUUGCCUGGUUUAGUGAUGGCUGAAUGUGGGUCGGAGAAAGAGGUAAGAGGUGAUGACCCUGUCUGAGAGGUGAGGACCCCUCCUCCCAGGACCCUGGCUUUUCUGAGGGCAUGAAUAAUGGCACCUCUGAUAUACAAAGGGCUGACAGAGGAGCAGGAGGUUUGUUUGAAGAUAUUGAGUGGUUUUAGGCCCAGGCUCUGGAGCAAGACCCCUGGGUGUGAAUCCCACCUUCCCCACUUACUAGCUACAGUGGCCUUGGGUAGUCCCUUAACUUCUUGAUGCCUUGAAGGGAAGUAACAACACCUGAGUCACAGGAGUGUGGGACUCCACAGAGGGUGAUAAUCCACGUAAAGUGCAUCACUCAGCCUGGCUCACAGUCAGCACUCAGUGAGGUCACUCAUGACCAUCACAAUGACUGACUAGAGGCUCCAUAGGCAGCUGGCAUGAAGGGAAUUCUGGUUUGAGAGAUCAUGACCAGCCUGAGAGUUAUUUUCCCACCUCCAGUUCCUUCCUGUGUGUUGAGAGCUUGCAUGCACGUGUAGACGCCCCAGCCUGUGUGUCCAAGCUCUGUCCACAGCUCCCUGCAAAGAGCUAGAUUAACUUACCCUGCAGUAGUGUGCAGUAUGAAGAAAAGGGAAGCCAUUCCUUGUGAGAAGCUUGAGGGAGGACUAGUCAGAGAGAGUGUGAGGACAUGAAAGAAGGGACAGAGAGAUUCCAAAUGAAGGGGUAGUCAACAGCCUUCAAUAUUGAAGGGACUGGGAGUCAAAUGAAGGCUGAAAAGUCCUAAAUUUGGCUCAUAGAGGUCCUUGGUGACAUUAGCAAGGACAGUCUUUUGGAGACAGAGAGCAGUUGAUAGAGUAGGAACCAGGCCUGGGGGCUUGAAGGCCUCUGAGAUGGAAUGGAAAACCAAAUAUUGUAUGUUCUCAUGUAUAGGUGGGAGAUAAGCUAUGAGGACACAAAGGCAUAAGAAUGAUAUAAUGGACUUCGGAGACUUGCAGGAAAGGGUGGGAGGGGAGUGAGGGAUAAAAGACUACACACUGGGUAUGGUGUACACUGCUCAGGUCAUGGCUACACCAAAAUCUCAGAAACUACCACUAAAGAACUCAUUCAUGUAACAAAAAAAAUAGAAGAAGAAGAGGAAGAGGAAGAAGAGGAAGAGGAAGAGGAAGAAGAAGAAAGAAGAAGAAGAAGGAAGAAGAAGAAGAAGAAGAAGGAGAAGGAGAAGGAGAAGGAGAAGAAGAAGAAGAAGAAGAAGAAGAAGAAGAAGAAGAAGAAGAAGAAGAAGAAGGAGAAGGAGAAGGAGAAGGAGAAGGAGAAGAAGACUCAGCCCCUGCAGGAUUAAGGAAUAGAAAAUUCAAAGGAAAAGGAAAAGGAACAGGGCUCCAACCAGAGAGUGUCUCUCUCAUGCUGAAGAAGUCUCCAGAAAUUAGUUUGGGGCUGAUUCCAUGGUGAGAGGAGCUCAGAUUCCUUCUAUUAUGUUGCUCCCAGGGGAAUAACCUGUCUCCAGAUUUACCUCAAGACCAAUACAGCUGCUCCUGCUCCAGCCAUCAUGUUCAUGUUCCAGCUAGCAAGAAGAUGGGAAAGAGUGUACAACACCCUCCUUUUAAGGAAGAAACCCAGAAACACAUAUAUCACUUUUACUUAUCUCACAUAGGCUAGAGCUUAGCCCUCAGCCACACUUUGCUGCAGGGGGAUGCUGGAAAAUGUAGUCUUUUUUUUUUUUUGAGACAGAGUCUCACUGUCACCCAGGCUGCCAUAGCCACCUGAAUAGUUGGGAUUACAGGCAUGCACCAUGAUGCCCGGCUAAUUUUUGUAUUUUUAGUAGAGACAGGGUUUCACCAUGUUGGCCAGGCUGGUCUCGAACUCCUGAUCUCAAGUGAUCCACCUGCCUCGGCCUCUCAAAGUGCCAAGGUGGGUGGAUCAUGAGGUCAGGAGAUCGAGACCAUCCUAGCUAACACGGUGAAACCCCAUCUCUACAAAAAACAUUUAAAAAAAUUAGCCAGGCGUGGUGGCAGGCACCUGUAGUCCCAGCUACUCAGGAGGCUGAGGCAGGAGAGUGGUGUGAACUCGGGAGGCAAAGCUUGCAGUGAGCUGAGAUUGCACCACUGCAAAUGUAGUCUUUAUUUUGGUGCCCAUGCACAGCUUAAAAUCCUCCCAAGAUGAAAAAGAGGAGGAUGGGUCUUGGAGAAGGUGAGGGAGGUCAAUGGGGAUGUGUCCUGCGUUCAGGAGGAGAGCUGCGGGGCUAGGAGGCUGCAGCUGGCAGGAAGACUCCAGCAUUUGCAACAUCAGAGUGGAUGGCCCUGGGUGGUGCCAGCCUCCAGGGUGUGGGCUGCUGAAAUGAAGUAAAGGAGAACAUCCCCAGACUGAGGAACAGAGGUGCCAGGUGAAUUUUCCUCAGGAUGUGGAAGUUUCCCAGAAUGAUGGCAGAUGGAGGGGAAGGAGUCACUGUGAUACAGGGGCUGAUGUCCUUGUAAAUAUCAGGACAUUGCCAUGUCAAUCAGACAGUGACCAUGAGUGAUCACUGGGGGCAGUUCAUACUGGAGAGAAUAUACAGGAAGUGUUUGGAGGGUUCAGUGGGAGGAGGGUAAGUUAGGGGUGGAGGAGGGCAGACCAAGAGAGGCCAGGAGGAGCCCACCUCUUGCAUCAGCAUGACCUGGAUGUAAGACAUGGAGUCAAAGGAGAUCAUUUUGGAACUUUAAGCAAGUAGUUACUUCCUACAUACAGGCAUUUGGUACAGGCAUUUGGUAAAUACACCCAUUCCAAAUGGGAGAAAUUGGCCAAAACAAAGGAACUACAUGCAAGUCCGAAAUCCCAUAGACUUGGGCAGCUCCACCCCUGUGGAGGAUGAUGACCCUCUUCUCACAGCUCCACCAGGCAGUGCCUCAGUGGGGACUCUGUGCAGCAGUGGGCUCCAUCCCCACAUUUCCCUUCCUCAGUGUCCUAGCAGAGGUUCUCCCUGAGGGCUCCGCCCCUGCAGCAGACUUUUGCCUGGACAUCCAGGCGUUUCCAUACAUUGUCUGAAAUUUAGGCAGAGGUUCUCAAACCUCAAUUCUUGACUUCUGUGCAGCUGCAGGUUCAACACCUGUAAGCUGCCAAAGCUUGGGGCUUGCAUCUUCUGAAGCAAUGGCCUAAGCUAUACAUUGACCCCUUUUAGCCACAAGUGGAACUGAAGCAACUGGGAUGCACUGGUCCCCCAAACCAUUUUUCCCUCCUAAGCCCCUGGGCCUCUGAUGGGAGGGGCUGCUGUGAAGUUCUCAGACAUUCCCUGGAGACAUUUUCCCCAUUGUCUUGGUGAUUAACAUUCGGUUCCUCGUUACUUAUGCAAAUUUCUGCAAUGGGCUUGAAUUUCCCCCUAAGAAAUGAGUUUUUCUUUUCUAUCGCAUUGCCAGGGUGCAAAUUUUCUAAACUUUUAUGCUCUGCUUCCUCUUGAACGCUUUGGUGCUUAGAAAUUUCUUCUGCCAGAUACCCUAAAUUCUCUCUCUCAUAUUCAAAUUUCCACAGAUCUCUAGGGCAGGGGGAAAAUGCCACCAGUCUCUUUGCAUAGCAAGGGUGGCCUUUACUCCAGUUUCCAACAAGUUCCUCAUCUCCAUCUGAGACCACCUCAGCCUGGACUUCAUUGUCCACAUCACUAUCAGCAUUUUGGUCAAAGCCAUUCAACAGGUCUCUAGGAAGUUCCAAACUUUCCCACAUUUCUCUGUCUUCUUCUGAGCCUUCCAGACUGUUCCAACCUCUGCCUGUUACCUAGUUCCAAAGUUACGUCCACAUUUUGGGGUAUAUUUAUACUAGUAUGUCACUCCUGGUACCAAUUUACUGUAUUAGUUUGUUCUCAUGCUGCUAAUAAAGACAUAUCUGACACUGGGUAAUUUAUGAAGGAAAGAGGUUUAAUUGACUCAUGGUUCUGCAGGGCUGGGGAGGCCUCAGGAAACUUACAAUCAUGAUGGAAGGGGAAGCAAAUACAUCAUUUUUCACCUGGCAGCAGGAAGGAGAAGAAUGAGCAAAGGGGGCCGGUGUGGCAGGGGGGAGCCCCUCAUAAAACCAUCAGAUCUCAUGAGAAUUCACUCACUAUCACGAGAACAGCAUGGAGAUAACCUCCCUCAUGAUUCAAUUACCUCCCACUGGGUCCCUCCUAUGUCAUGUGAGGAUUAUGGGAACUAUAAUUCAAGAUGAGAUUUGGAUGGAGACAUAGCCAAGCCAUAUCGAGCAGUAAAUCUAACAAUUAAGAUACACAGGCUUUGGAAUGAGACAGACCUGGGUUUGAAAGUCUUGGCCACUGUCAGCUGUGCAAUUUUGAGCAAGUAUUCAACCUCUCUGGACCAAAGUUUCCACAUUUGGAUAGUUGGGGUAGGGGUGGGGUAUUUGUCUUUCUCCCUUUAGGGGAAGUCUUUCAUGGUUGGAGAUACACAUCACUGCCUUUCCAUCCCAUGUCACCCUAUUUCUUUGCUUUGCCUAG